rnacentral:sRNA from 1 species
GCCAGGUGUGGUGGCGCAUACCUGUAAUCCCAGCAGUUUGGGAGGCUGAGGCAGGAGGAUCACAAGUUCAAAGCCAGCUUUAGCAAAAGCAAGGUGCUAAGCAACUCAGUGAGACCCUGUUUCCA